AUUGAACGCUGGCGGCAGGCCUAACACAUGCAAGUCGAACGAGUGGCGGACGGGUGAGUAAUGUCUGGGAAACUGCCUGGUGGAGGGGGAUAACUACUGGAAACGGUCGCUAAUACCGCAUACCAUCAGAUGUGCCCAGAUUGGAUUAGCUAGUUGGUGGGGUAACGGCUCACCAAGGCGACGAUCCCUAGCUGGUUUGAGAGGAUGACCAGCCACACUGGGACUGAGACACGGUCCAGACUCCUAAGGGAGGCAGCAGUGGGGAAUAUUGCACAAUGGGGGAAAGCCUGAGGCAGCCAUGCCGCGUGUAUGAAGAAGGCCUUCGGGUUGUAAAGUACUUUCGGCGGGGAGGCGGUACCUGCAGAAGAAGCACCGGCUAACUACGUGCCAGCAGCCGCGGUAAUAC
rnacentral:rRNA from 1 species